CAGACUUGGUGGUGAACAUCUUUAAUCCCAGCUCAUAAGAAGUAGAGAGGCAGGCAGAUCUUGGCAAGUUUGAAGCCAGCCUGGUCUACAGAGUGAGUUCUAGGACAGCCACGGCUGUUACACAAAGAAACUCUGUCUUAAAACAGCAACCAAAAGAAGGUGGGUGUGGUGGUACAUGCCUUUAAUUCCAGCACUUGGAGCGUGGAUCUCUGUGAGCUUGAGGCCAGCCUGGUCUACAGAGUUAGUUCUAGGCCACCCAGAGCUCCACAGAGACUUUGUCUCAAAAAACAAACAAACAAACAAACAAACAAAUAAAUAAAAUGGAUUUUUAUCCCCUUUCAGUGGGCAGAGCAUCAGAAAUUGUAACCAAUCCAGAAUCUGUAAUUGAUACUUUAACUUUCAAUGUAACAUUUUGAUUUGUUUCUUUCUUUCUUUUUGCAGUGCUGAGAUUGAAUUUAGGGGCCUUGCACGUCUGGUCAAUCACUCCAGGACUGAUCUCCAUCCCUGUCUCUGGUUCUUGUAGUUCGCCGGUCUCACUGAGAAGCACAGUCUGCAGGGUCCCGAGUGGCCUUUCUGCCUCUGCCCUGUCCUCUCAGUGAUGGCAGCCUUGAAACUGUCUUCUGAGUUAUGGCAGCUACGCCCACAGGACUGGGUGACCCAGUGGGUCCUGGACAAUCUUCCUGUGGGUAUGCAGUCUUCGUUCUCCCAAAGCCUGGAGUCCUUGAGCAUCUCUCUUGCGGUAGAUGCCUCUGGAAGCUGCUUCUUCCACAAUGGCUGAAGGAAGUCUCCCCAGCGCCAAGCCACACUGCUCUGAAAGCCAUCCUUGAACGAAUGACCUGCUAAGAGUGCAGUUUUCGCUCCCUCUCUCCCGGACUUUGAUUUGAUCAGGCCAAAUCUGAAAUGAUGUGUGAAAGUAAUGAUAUUUGGUAAUUAAAUCUCUGGUGACGGCCACUGCAAUUUGUGCUACAUGCAUUGUUCAUAAGGAAAAAAAAAAACCCGCAUCAAUUCAUUUUCUGACCGGCUACUCCAGGGACUAGCAAUUAGGGGCUGCUCAUCGCUCUCGUCGCCUCGCAUAUUAAAGAGCUACUGAAACGCAAAGAGAAUUUGGGAGGGUUUCCCCCCUCCCAACCUUCUAAUAAUGUUAGCUUAAUUAGGGAGGUUCAGUGAUAAAGGGGCACUUUGUGAUGAUUUGAGCAAACCAAUGGUGGAGAGGAGAGAGUGAGCUAACAGGGAGGAAGGUUGGGGUGAGGUUUGGGGCUGUUCCACCCUGGGGCACCUGGUGGUGAGUAAGGACAAAGAGUUCUGGACAUCCCAGUGAAGUUCUGCUUCCUUCCCCACCUUGGGUCUUUUCCUUCCUUCCUUCCUUCUCCUCCUUCC
rnacentral:lncRNA from 1 species